rnacentral:rRNA from 1 species
UACGGAGGGUGCAAGCGUUAUCCGGAUUUACUGGGUUUAAAGGGUGUGUAGGCGGACUUUUAAGUCAGCGGUGAAAUCUCCGGGCUCAACCCGGAAACUGCCAUUGAUACUAUUGGUCUUGAAUAUUGUUGAGGUGGGCGGAACGGGUCAUGUAGCGGUGAAAUGCAUAGAUAUGACCCGGAACACCGAUUGCGAAGGCAGCCCACUAAGCAAUGAUUGACGCUGAGGCACGAAAGCGUGGGGAGCAAACAGGG